CAGGAUCUGGUAGAAGAUGUGGUAGUUUCUCUCAGCCUUCAGCUGGAAGAUCACCCGAGACUUCUCCAGGAGAUCUGAAGUGCGAGAUGGGGGGAAGGCAGGAAAACAGAGAAAAGGAUGCCUAUUCCCCUAUUACCAAAUAUCUCUGAGCAGAAACAACAACAUGGGAAUGAAGUCUUCCCUGCACCGGAUUCUCCACUGGAGGCAACAGGGACCCAUCAGAACCCAAGAUCCCCUCUGUGCUCCAUUCAGAGUUCAGCACUGCACCCUCCUCCCUCAGAAUCCCGGUCAUCUAACCUCCUCCACUGGGGUCUUGCAGAGUUUGCAUAUCAUUGAAUCAGCCUGGAUCCUCCCCAAGUCCCUGUGUGGGUAGAUGGCAUUUGCUCACGUGAUGAGGAUGGACUGGUUCUCCCUAUCUGGAAGAGGAAAGAAGAGAGGCAACAGAGUCAGGACCCCUCUGAGGCCAAAACCAGUGGAGGUCCCCCCAUCCCCGCCCCAGCAUCCUCUCUGGCAAAGGAUGUGCAUCCCUGGGAUGGUGCCCUGUUACAUCUGCUCAGGUCCAUCUGAGAAAGCAGUGACCUUGCCCCCUUCCCGGGACAGGAUCUUGGCCUUCACAAACUCCUCCUUGUCGUCGGGCACAAAGCACUCAGUGCGGAUAUCGAAG